AUAUAUUGUAAACACAGGAGAAAGCGUAUUGUAAAAGCAAGUCUAUAUGACAUCCUUUUUUCAUGCACAUGGUCUUAAAAACCAUGUUCAAGCCAUGCUAUUACAUACUUAUAUAGGUACAAAAUUCUACAGUUCAAGGUUUGCGAUAAAGUUAUGUAUUUCGAUCUGAAAUU